rnacentral:lncRNA from 1 species
UGGAAAAUAAAGUUCUCUUGUGAAAAGAAGAAGAAGGGCACAAAAUAAUAUAAUUAUUAUAACACAAAACAAAAUAAUUAUCCUUUUUUUAGAUUUAGCUACUGCGAUCUGUGAAUGCGUCUUAGUGUUUGUGAUUGAUCGAGCGCACGCGCAUGCGCAUGCAGUGAGCCUCAGACACCGGUUGAUGAUCCGCUCUCGAGACUCAUUCAGUGUCUGCUAUCAAAGAACAAUAAAACGCACGUCUCAACCGUACACGUUACACACGUUUAUAAUCUUUUAUUAACACUAGUCCUCGUACUCCUCUUCCAGAAAGCGUCUGAUUACCGCGGAUCGGCGCUCAUCGGCAUCACCGGAGAACUCCUCCAGCUGGAGCCGGUGAAGAGAGCGAAGCCGCGUUCAUUCGUUCCCCGUCAGUCUGUUUCAGACCACCGGCGACAGCAUGAGCCAGAGGUUCACGGUGACCGCCGGUGACAUCCAGGGCGAAGUGAACCAGCUGUUCGAGGGCGACGAGGAGACGCCGAGCGCGUCCGACGCCACGGGAGCGGAGCGAUGCGGGAAAGGGCUGGUGUCAGUGGAGUGGAAGAGGCCGGUCUGGCGGUUCUGAACCCAACAGAGUGUAAAAGAACAGCAUGUUGUUUCUCCAAAUGGACAGAGAGAAUAGGCAGAGAAAAAGUCCAGGUACGAGGGAAGAGAACACAGAUAAGACACUGCAGCAGCACUUCAAUGAUUUCACAAACACUGUGCACAUACAUUCAAGUCCAUCACAAAUACAAAUAGGAUUAUUUAACGCAUGGAGUAAAUAAUGCAUGACAUGUUCAUAUUUAUGAAUGACAUGAUCAUUUGCAUUCACAAAAUGUGUUCUAGGUCGUUUUCAGGGUAUUCUAGAUGGUUGUUAGGGUUGUUUUCGGUGAAGAACAAAAGAAAAAUUUACUUGGACACCACAGCAAAAACUAGAAAUUGAACGAUAUAUAAAUAAACUAAAGAUCUGGCUGUCCUUGUUCCAUUUAAAACUGAAGGCAAUCACUGCAUUUUAAUCACAAUCCAAACAAAGAUGAUAAAUGCAUGUUAUUUAGCUUGUAAUUAGAUUGUAUAAUUUAGAAAUUUGAAGCAAAAAACAAAAUGGACUGACUUCAGCUUUGUGAAUUUCAUAUUGCUAUUCAAGAUAGCCCUUCAGGUAGUGUUUCCCACAAGCUCCAGGACGCCCGGGUUAGCGAUUAUAAGAGCACUGCUUAAUAUGUUGUAAAAUUGGACAUAAUGUUACACAGAAAAGUACAGUAAGCUAUUUUUCUAAACUUUUUAAAUAGUGAGUAUUUUCAUUUGCUGUUGUUGUUAUUAUUAUUAGGUUUUUUUUUAUCAUU